rnacentral:sRNA from 1 species
CAGCGGAGGGAUCAUUACCGAGUUAUACAACUCAUCAACCCUGUGAACAUACCUAAACGUUGCUUCGGCGGGAACAGACGGCCCCGUAACACGGGCCGCCCCCGCCAGAGGACCCCCUAACUCUGUUUUUAUAAUGUUUUUUCUGAGUAAACAAGCAAAUAAAUUAAAACUUUCAACAACGGAUCUCUUGGCUCUGGCAUCGAUGAAGAACGCAGCGAAAUGCGAUAAGUAAUGUGAAUUGCAGAAUUCAGUGAAUCAUCGAAUCUUUGAACGCACAUUGCGCCCGCCAGUAUUCUGGCGGGCAUGCCUGUUCGAGCGUCAUUACAACCCUCAGGCCCCCGGGCCUGGCGUUGGGGAUCGGCGGAGCGCCCCCUGCGGGCACACGCCGUCCCCCAAAUACAGUGGCGGUCCCGCCGCAGCUUCCAUUGCGUAGUAGCUAACACCUCGCAACUGGAGAGCGGCGCGGCCACGCCGUAAAACACCCAACUUCUGAAUGUUGACCUCGAAUCAGGUAGGAAUACCCGCUGAACUUAAGCAUAUCAAUAAGCGGAGGAAAAGAAACCAACAGGGAUUGCCCCAGUAACGGCGAGUGAAGCGGCAACAGCUCAAAUUUGAAAUCUGGCUCUCGGGCCCGAGUUGUAAUUUGUAGAGGAUGCUUUUGGUGAGGUGCCUUCCGAGUUCCCUGGAACG